CUAAAAAUCUACUCCAUGGAAUAUAAACGUUUACUAAGAACAAAGAUGAAAAAGAAGACAUAGCAAUCAAACUUUGAAUCCCAACUUCCGUUUUGGAUUUGAGUUGUGUACCACGUGUUCCCCUUUCUCUUCUUCGUAACCUAGCGUCUUUUUUGGUCCCCUUUUCCGAUUAAAACAUCCCCCUGGGGAAAGCUCCAACAUCAUCCACAAAAUUCUAA
rnacentral:lncRNA from 1 species